rnacentral:rRNA from 1 species
UGCAGUCGAGCGGAUGAUGGGUGCUUGCACUCUGAUUCAGCGGCGGACGGGUGAGUAAUGCCUAGGAAUCUGCCCGAUAGUGGGGGACAACGAUUUCGAAAGGAACGCUAAUACCGCAUACGUCCUACGGGAGAAAGUGGGGGAUCUUCGGACCUCACGCUAUCGGAUGAGCCUAGGUCGGAUUAGCUAGUUGGUGAGGUAAUGGCACACCAAGGCGACGAUCCGUAACUGGUCUGAGAGGAUGAUCAGUCACACUGGAACUGAGACACGGUCCAGACUCCUACGGGAGGCAGCAGUGGGGAAUAUUGGACAAUGGGCGAAAGCCUGAUCCAGCCAUGCCGCGUGUGUGAAGAAGGUCUUCGGAUUGUAAAGCACUUUAAGUUGGGAGGAAGGGCUGUCGGCUAAUACCCUGCAGUUUUGACGUUACCAACAGAAUAAGCACCGGCUAACUUCGUGCCAGCAGCCGCGGUAAUACGAAGGGUGCAAGCGUUAAUCGGAAUUACUGGGCGUAAAGCGCGCGUAGGUGGUUCAGCAAGUUGGAUGUGAAAGCCCCGGGCUCAACCUGGGAACUGCAUCCAAAACUACUGAGCUAGAGUACGGUAGAGGGUGGUGGAAUUUCCUGUGUAGCGGUGAAAUGCGUAGAUAUAGGAAGGAACACCAGUGGCGAAGGCGACCACCUGGACUGAUACUGACACUGAGGUGCGAAAGCGUGGGGAGCAAACAGGAUUAGAUACCCUGGUAGUCCACGCCGUAAACGAUGUCAACUAGCUGUUGGGUUCCUUGAGAACUUAGUAGCGAAGCUAACGCGAUAAGUUGACCGCCUGGGGAGUACGGCCGCAAGGUUAAAACUCAAAUGAAUUGACGGGGGCCCGCACAAGCGGUGGAGCAUGUGGUUUAAUUCGAAGCAACGCGAAGAACCUUACCUGGCCUUGACAUGCUGAGAACUUUCCAGAGAUGGAUUGGUGCCUUCGGGAACUCAGACACGGGGUGCUGCAUGGGUUGUCGUCAGCUCCGUGUCGUGGAGAUGUUGGGGUUAAGUCCCGUAACGAAGCGCAACCCUUUGUCCUUAAGUUACCAGG